CUCGAUGACGCUGUAGCUCUCCACGUAAUCGACGUGUUCGUCCUGCGGCUCGCUGGCGAUCUGCCGCAGCGUGGCCUUGUCCACGCUGCCCACUCCGAUGGCGAACAGCUCGACGCCGCUGGCCCGGGCCCGCGCAGACACGUCCUGCACGCUGUCCUGGGGCCUCCCGUCUGUCACCACGAUGACCACCUGCGACACGCGGGGCGGUGUGACACCGGGCUCCCGGAAGCCCACGGGACUGUCCAGGAGAGGAGGCUGAGGCCCGGAGAGGCGGGAGGACUGCCGGGUCGCACAGCCAGGCGGCACCCGGGGGAAGAGGACCCGGCUGGCCGAAGAGGAGACCCGUUUCCUCUGACUGAGAGACGUGGCUGGGGGGCUUUCCAUCUGCUUCGCCUCCCUCGGGCAGGCAGCUCUGAGAUGCCCGGAGGGAUGUGAUGCCCCAUCGCCAAAUUGGGGUCUCUAAGCUAUGAAAUGGCCACCUCACGGGGCAUCAUGGGAAUCAAAGUGUCUGCAGGCAAAGCUCAUAACUCCGAGCGGGAGCCUCCAAACAGCAGCAUCCUAGCAGGGUGGCGUGCACGUACCUUGCUGAUGUCAGGGGACCUGGAACGACCACCCUCUGCAUCGCCGAAGGCUUUGGUGAUAGCGAACUGGAUGGCCAGGCCGGUCAUGGUGCCUGUGGACAGCGGCUGGAUACGGCGCACAGCCUGCAGCAGUGCGGCCUUGGAGACAUGAGCCCGCAGCGAGAACUCCUGCUUCACGGUGCUGGCAUAGUUGACCAUGCCCACCCGGGUGGCAUUGGGCCCCACGUCCAGCGACUCGAUGACCUGGGACAGGAAUACCUUCACUUUCUCAAAUUCAACAGGCCGAACGCUGCGAGAGCUGUCGACAACAAACACCAGGUCUGUGGGCCGCGUCCGGCAGAGAUGGCCUGGGAGUGGGGCAGGAGGGGUAAGGCAGAGAGCAGAGACACAGGUCAGGGACUGGGCCUGAACACACAGAGUGCGGCUUCUUAGAUCCAGGUGCGAGGCCUCGGGCCCAGUAGGCUGCAAACUUCAGCUGGGCAGCUGAGCCCUUUUAUCAACAUGCAGACACCAGCAAGCAACUUGCCAAAGGCCCCCUGCUCAGCCCAUGGGGAACACAGAGGGCCAAGCCUGGCCUUGGGCCAUUUGCUUCACUUCUCUGAGCCUCAGUUUCCUCAUCUGAGCAGUGAGCUAGCAAUCCCUCCUUACAGGAUGUUUUGAGGAGCCAGCAGGGGGCCAGGCAAGCAAUGAGUAUUCCAGGGGUGGCAAAGGACCCUGCGGCCUUGAAAACACAUUUAGGUUUCAGCCCAGACUUGCUGCCAGAAACAAGGGCAGCUAUUUCUUCUAGCUGGGCAGGAGGGCACCAAGGAUGGGCCCUCCAGGCAUGGGCACAGGCUUGAGAGCCAAAGCAGUGCCCGUCAACAUGGCCUCUUUCAUCUGAGCAUCAAAGCAAAUCACCAAAGUGGAACCAGUUUCCCUCAGCCUGGCAGCGCCUGCUGGCGGGUUGCCAAAGACAGGGAAAAGGAGCAGGAAUUCCUGGUGGCCACCUCGGCAGCCUGAUCAGGUGCACACCAAGACACACCCCCGAGGAGCAAUGUCCUCCAGAGACCCAAGAAGGCAGCACCCUGUGCUGGGAAGUAUGCAGGGUCAGAGUGAGUUCAGGCCUGGGUUCAAAUCCUGGCUCAGCCACUCUGUGGGGCCCUGGGCAGAUCAUUGCACCUUUCUGAGCCUCCGUGAUCUCACAUGUCCAGUGGAGAGAAUAAGGCUACUGUCACUGGCCUGGGCCUGCAGUCAGGAAGGUCUCACUACAAAGGCCCUUCCCUCCCCAUCCCAUGCGGAGUCUGAACUGAGCAGAGCCAAUCCCAAAGAGGAAAGGGGAAACGUGCAGGGCCGUCCCAACCCCCAAGUCACAGUAACUCACAGUGCCCUAGACUGGGGCUCUGGACAUCAGAGUUCCUCAGGAGACCUUAGAAAUCACCAUGCAGCAGGCUCCCUGCUGUCUACUCGCUAAGGCUACAAAUGGGUAAACUGAGACCCAAAGAGGGAAAGGGAAUUGGCCACACCGUACAGCAGUAGAUCAAUAACCUAGAGGCUCUGGCGCUAUCUCACUGUGUGGUCUUAGGCCCUCACUGACCUCAGUUUCCCCAUCUGUACAGGAAGAAUGGGCAUUCCAGGACUCAGUGCCCAAACCUGAAACUCUGGGGGGUGUUAUUGCCCCCAGGGAGCCCAAGGCUGGAAGGACCUGCAAAGGGGGCAUGAGCUCUUGGCAUCCCAGGUCUGCUGUCAUCAAAGAGCCAUGGGCUCAGCCCUGGGCUUGGUGCAGCUCCAGACGUCAGCCAGCUCUCUGAGUAGCUUCUGCUCCCCAGAGACCUGGAAGACCAAGGUCCCUGCCUCAUGCAUGGUCCCUGAGGGCUGAGGAGCACCCCUGCCCUGACCCUUAUAAGCACCAUGGUCCCUGUCUGCUCCUGCACCAGCCCACUGCCCACCACUGCCGCCCUGCUCCCUUCCCCAUCCUGGAUCCCGUGUGCUCCCUGCCAUAUCGGUACCCAGCCCCCAGUGCUGAGGGUCAGGGCCCACUAGCUCAGUAGCCCCCAUCUCACGCAAGCCCCCUCACCUCUGGACUGGGGGGCGAGGCCAGGGCUGCACAGGGCCUGGAGCAGCAGCAGCAGGCUGCAGAGCAUGAGGCUAGUGCCAGAGAGGACCCUCAUAGUUCUGGCAGCACGGGCAGCAGCCGGCACGGUUGUGGGACCAGUGGGGUCCAGGUCUUAUCAACCCCACUGCCCGCCCAGCCUUUGGGUCAGGUGGCCCCCAACUGACGACUGACGUGGGGGCAGCCCGCCCUGGCCCCCAGCCCCCCCAAAGGGCGGGGCUUGGGCUGAAUGGAGGUGUGUGUGCCCUGAGAGGGCGGGAGAGCCUGGCCCAGGCUUCAGAGGCCCCUCUGACCACAAGGGCUCCUUUGCUUGCAGAAGCAACUAGAGCGGCAGCUGGAAUUUGGGAAAUCUCAGGUGGGUGGGGGGUGGCUCUUCCAGGGGCUGGAGCCCGCGCUGCCUUGAAGCUCCACCCCAAGCCUAGGCAUACCUGAGUCCAAUGGCCCGGCCCAGCCCUGUCCUGCACCUUCAUCCCACACCCAAAUCCUUCCCCCACUCACAACCCCAAGUUUCUCAUUAAAUUCACUUCCCCUUCCCCAGCCUCACUGUGCCCUGCUCUCCGCACACGCCCUGCUCUCCAGCUACCCCUGGAUUCUCCUCGAAGGCCUCCAGGCCAUCACACAUGCAGGGCCAUCUGCCCAGAAUCCUUUCCUCUCACUAACUCUCUGCCUUGUAGAAUCUUUCAAGGUCAUAAUUAGGGCUAACAUGUACCUUCACUGUUAGUAUGGGCAGGGCAGUGGAGACCAUGGUUAAGAGCACAGACUUGGGAGCCAGGUUACCUGGGUUUGCUAUACCAGCAAACCACCUGUGUGACCAUGGGCAAGUGACUUCACCUCUCAUGUCUCAGAUUGCUCAUCUGGAAACUAGGGAUGGUAAUAGCGCCUCCUAGGGUUGAUUCAAGGAGCAAAGGAGUUAGAUGAGGUUUCUCAGUUAAUCCUCUUGACAACUUUUUAAAGCAGCUACUGUUAAAGAACAGAGAGGUAAAAUAACUUGUCUGAAGUUACACAGCUAAGAAGUGUUAUUGCCAGGAUAGAGCCCCAGGCCCGGCUCUCAGCCAUGCUGCUGUCUCAGUGUAGCUUGAUGUAGGUGGCUUCUCCCUGCCCAUCUCUUCCCCCUGUGGGUCCCUGCUUGGCCCACCUCACCUGUCAGCCAGUGGAUUCAACUCUGCAUCAGGCCCAGCACAGAGAAGGCAAAGAUAAAGCCUUCUAAACAAAGUAACAUCAGCAGGAACGAUCCCCUUCUUUGCAUUUGGGUCAAGUAGUUCAUGAGAUAGAGCAGAAAGAGCAUGGGCUUGGCUACCUGAGAGAUCCAGGUUCAAAGCCACUUCUGCUCCUAACUGGCUGUGUGACCUGGAGCUGGUGACUUAACCUCUCUGAGCCUCAGCUUGCCAUGGUGCAGUGGGAAUGGUCGUUCUUGAUCUGCCUGCCCCAUGUGAGGGGCAAGAGGGGGACAGAAGUGGAAAUGGAGUUAAAGGAUUGUCAUUGCUCCAGGAGGCAGAAUCCUAAGACUUGGGACCUAUGCACUUCACUCUGUGUAAAUUAUACCUCAAUAAAAGGAAAUGUACAGACAAAAAGCGACUGCUGGGUGCAGCAGACCCAACUCACCGCUACCACACUCUUUAGCAAUAAUUAUAACAAUCCCUUCCACCCUUGACAUGGCAGUUACUCAUUCUAUCACUCUAUCUCAUUUGCUCACCCAACAAACCUGUGAAGUCAGCAGAUUUGAGUCUCUUGGCCCAUUUGUCAGAUGGAGAAACUGAGGCCCAGAGAGGUUCACUGACUUACCCGAAGCCACCAGCCAGUUUAGGGGCAGAGCCAAGCCUAAAGCUCAGGCCUCACUCCCCUUUGCACCAGUGUUAGAGAAGGAGGAGGUUAAGAGCAUUGCCUUCUGACUUUUUCCCCUUAUAUUUCAUGUGUGCCUAAUUCACUGCCCUCCCCAAUUCCAAAAACCACUUGAAGCUGCUGAUUCCUUUUUCUGCUACAACUUUGAAGUCGAAUUCUUCUCCAGAGAUGCUGCAAGGUGUGAUGAUGGUGGUGCCUCUCCCUUCCCAAAAUGGUGUAAUUAAGGUGUUACCUGUCUCCCCAAGGACGUGAGCUCCCUCCGAGCAGGGGGCUUGCCCGUCUCAGUCACCACUGAAUCCCUGGGACCCAGCAUGGUGCCUGGCACAGGAUCUCUGGUAAGCAAAUGAAGGAAUGAAUGAAAACUAACUACGAACCUGUUCCAUUUCCCUAUAAACCACCCAGGGUCACACAAGGGCCAUCCACGGUGACCAGCGGUGAGAAACGCAAUGCUGUCCUCGUGCCAUGCUGGAGGUGAACGAGGAGAACGUGAGCUGGGGUCUCCUCACCAACUGCUCCCCCCACCCCAACCCCCCUGACGGCCAGGGCUGUGUCCAGGGCUCAGGGCACAAGGCUCCGUUAGCUGGGCAGCAGCUGGCCCAUGAAACAGCCCUUUCAGCUCCACCUCUGAAUGGCAGUUCUAUGGGCUCCUCGGAAGAACACAGGCGCCUUCUCUGUGUCACUUCUCCGCUCAUUAGCAGAGCUGCAGAAAUACACUACAGGACUCAAAAUUGAGAACAGUGUGUCCGGUAUGAGCCAGAAGGAAAAAAAAAUGCACGAAGGGGCCUUCUGCAAGGUUGCUCACAAGUCAAACAGGCAGCUGUGAAGGGCUCUGCUGUUCCCUCCUCCUGUUUUCACAUCCCUCGGGCUUCCAGAAACUUAAAGCCGUUAGUGUUUCAUGCAAGAGAGAGCAUCUGUGAUCCACGGAGAGGCCCCUGGGCAGUGUGGUUCAGUGGGAAGCACACAGGACUCCCUCCCCAGUGCUCCCAGGAUCAGCUCUUUCCCUAAAGAGCAAACCUGGUUAUCUCGCAAUGACCUAGCUAACACAAAUGCAACAUCAGCCGGGGCAGCCUGCCCCCUUCACUCUUUGCCCACCAUCAGCUGUUUGGCAGUAUCCAUAUACGCCUUUACCAGUAUUUAUUUAAUCUUUUUGUUUAAUUCACUCUAAACCAACUCACUUCUUAAAAAUUUCUCUGCCUUAUAAGAAAUAAUAGCCAUGAAAUCACUGGUUUGAUGUACGGUUUAUUUAUUUAUUCCAAUAAACACUCAUUCAAUAUAAAAUUCAAAUAAAUUCAAAACUAAUUAAAUUUAGCUUUUUCAUCUGGCAUGCACGACAGACUUUGAGGAAUCCUGUGAAGUGAAACGGCUUUAGAAUCAAAGAGAGCUGGGCUUGAGUCCCCCUCUGUCACAGGCCAGCCAUGGUGACUUCCGGGAAAUGUGAAACCCUGAAGCUCAGACUCUGAAGGAAACUCAAAGGUCAUCUACACCUGGCCACCCAUGCUACUCACCUGGUUGUUAAAAAUACAAGGUCCACCCCUGCUACGUGCCUUCUCGGGGCCAGAGGGUCAGCCCUCACCCCAGGAGCGACUGCGAGAGCUUCCCACGGGGAAUGGCCCCUGUAAUCAAUCACACUGGAAGAAGAAAUGAGCAUCUGGAGGAGCGGGCUCAGGUUUAGCACUGGGAACUCUAGCUGGCCCAGUUAAUGCCCCAACCCAUGGCCCUUCAGCCCACUGUGGGUUCAGCUCACCUACAGCUGCAGGCAGUUCCCAGGGACGCAAGCAGUGGGCCAGGCAGCCUGGGGAUUUAACAUCCCCAGGUAUAACCCGCAACCUGCAGGGAUCAGAAGACCCCAACGUCCCCAUCCCCCAUUGAACAGUUCUGAGACACGCUCCUCGCCGUUCCUCAGAAGGUCCCCAGCAGGAGUGAGCCGCGGUUGCCCACAGAGGUGACCAGCUUAUUCAUGCACAUUGUAUUGGCUUUUAUCCUGUCCCCACCUCACUUCCCCUCACUGUAUUUCCUGGGAUCACCUCCCAAAUAAGCUACCUGCACCCAAGUCCUUUUCUCAGGAUACCCGGUCACAUCUCCAGGCCUUGGCCCAGCUGUUUUCCAGCCUCGCAUGUCCUCCCAGCACAUAGAGCAGAGGAAGCAGCAGGCGAGUGUUCUGUUCGACUAUCUGGGCCACUGAGAUGGCAGCAAAAUUGUUUCCCAGGGAGACUUCUUCCUGGGACCCGGGAGACAGACUGGAAUGUGAGCACUGGUUCCCAGAGAGCCCAUCCGGGAGGGCAGCGGGCAAGGCCUGUGGCUGCAGAGACACACAGUGGCUGCUGCUUAUACCCUCCGCAGAGGCCCUGCUGCCACCCAAAGACCCAAGGAGAACCCGAGGGUGGGUCCUGCCCCUGACUUCCUUUAACCUGACUGCUUUUCUUGACACUUAAACGGUUUCAUUGCAAAUUGGAGACACUGCCAGAGUACCGGAUUGGACAUGAAUCUCUGGUCUUCCCAAAAGUCAGGCAGAGAUGUGGAGGGGCCCACAGUCACAGGGCAGAUUCCUCACCUGCAAAGUGGCCAUGCUCAUCGCCCCAUCCAGGAGCCUGCAGUGCAGCUGGGCUGCUCCUCCUGCCCAGGCCCCAUUCGGGCCACAGACCCCAUGAUCUGAGGUGUCACAUGUGGUUCAUGACACCUCCCAUGUGCUAUCUUGGUCUCAGGCCCCACGCAUGGUCAGCCAAACUGGAAUCCAGGGUGAGGAGGCGUGUGCUUUCAUCUGCCGGCCUGUCUGGGGAGGCCACGGAGCAGCAGCACAUCCUUCUGAUGGGUUAACACCUGGGUGAUACCAGCCCAACCUGAUAUCCCACCCACAUGUCCAAAGAUAGCACUCACAUCUCAACCUGCCUCCCUCCUCGCUCUCCUAAACUCCAGACCUAGAGACCCAGCUGCUUCCUGAGCACCUCCCAUUAUAUGUCCCCCAAGGAAGCGCAAAUCUAGCCCCACCAAAACGCGAUGCAUCCUUUGCCAUCCCCCGUUUCGCAUCCUCUGCUCAGAGCUGGGCACCACCAUCCGAGGGUCCGCAACAUCCAAAAGCUCCCUGCUGCCUCUGAGGCCUCCUGCUUCUGCCAGGGCCCUCCCAAGAGGGCUCAGAGCCUGGAAUAGGAAUUAAAUGAGGGCCUUGUGAGGUAGAAAUUCCCAGAGGAAGGGCGAGGUUACCCAGAAAGGUCUAGAGAGACAAGCUCAGGUCCAUUUGGGUGGACUGAAGUCCAAGCCCAGGUCUGCCCCUUGGCCAAUGCGUGACUGUGGGCAGAGGCAGCCCCUCCCUGAACCUCAGGAAUGAUCACCACCCAGCACCUGCUGCGUGAGGCCACUGGGAGCUUUGUGGAGCCAGCACACUGAAGGGCCCACUCAAUUACGGGGACCCUUCCUGCUACCAUCACAGCUCCCGAGAAACCUGAAGUUGCCCCGCUUAGCACCCCAGGUUUAAUUUUACCAGCUCUUUUUUCCCUCCAAGAGACAACCACUCCAGGCUGCCCUCACCUGCCCAGGCCUGGAAGCAGCCCCCUCUGUCCUGGGGCCGGCUCCUUUCCAGGCAUGAAGCUCAAACAGGCGCUGUCAGUGGGUCCAAACCAUCGCAGCCCCGUCAAAGGACCCCUGUGUGAGCCUCAAACGGGGCAUUGAUAGGGCCUCAGUGAGGGCUGCCCAGGCGAUCGUGGGCUCGCUUGGCUUGGCUAGCCAUGCGGACUUCCCCAAACCCAGCUAUUUCCUGUCCCUCGGGUGGCCCCCUCCCAGCUGCCUGGCCACAGGGCACAAUCCCACUACACAGCUCAGCCUGUUCUUCGGCUCCAGGCCAGAGGUGGGAGUCGGGGAAGGCGGGAAGGACGGGAGAGUCGCGCCGGGAAGUUCAGGGCCUCCUGGUCCUUGUGACACACGCAGCCAUGGCCCUUCAAUCUCCUUGUGAUAGGAUGCAAGGCUGGGCCAAUGUCUCUCCUCCCGUGACCUCUGCUCCCAAUCCACACUUGCCGGGGCUUCUCAGCGGGCCCUCUUCCCAUGGGUCUUUGCAAGAAGCAACAACUGACACAGACUGGGCCCCAGCCCGUCUAAAAGCCUCCACUCGGAGUAGAAAAAAAAGGUGCUUGGUCUCAUCUCUGACCACUGUGUGGCCUCAGGAAAGUCACUUGAUGUCUCUGGGCCUCUGCCCUCAAGUGUGAACAGGAGCUCGCUUUCCAUUUCUGUGAAUUACACUGCACCAACUGCUUGGGGGUCUGAUAAGGAGCAAAUAACAUCCAUGAAGAAAUCUGCCAUUCCACAAAAAAACUGACACCACCAGAAGGUUGACAAUGCCUCUCAAACUCAUCCCCGUCCCUGCCGCCCCAUAGGAUGACUUCCCCAGCCUUUGUAGGGGUCCCUGCAUUUGGGCUCUUCCUUCCUAAAACCCAAACCUUGUAACUCCUUGGCCCAAAAUCCUUCAAAGACACCUGUCUCAGGAUUAGUCCAUGUUCCUCGGUGUGACAUUCAAGGCUCUGAGGGCUCUUUUGGUAUUGGUGACAGAUCCCAAUUCAAACAGCCCUGGUCUCUUUAUUAACUUUACUUUCAGGUAAGUCCUCAACAGCUCAGCCACACCGGGGAGAAAAGAUAAGAGAUGGAGAAACAGAGAGACAUUAUUAAAGAGUUGUAGUCCUGGAUCCUGCCAUACCUGAAGCCAAAAAUCCCUGGAUUUUUUAUUUGUAUGAGAGCCAAGAAACAUCGUGAACCACCUUCUGGUUUCUCAUAAUAAACUUGGCUCAUAAGGCUUCUGUUACUUGCAACCAUGUCCUUCCUGUAAAUUCCCUUCUUGGCUGAACUUAGCCAGGGUGAGCUUGCACCUAAAGAGCCCCACUGUGUGCAAACACUCUUCCUGACCCAGCCCCACAGCGGGCCGACCUCUUCUCCCUCCCCUCCCCACUUGCAGCCACGCUGAGCAGCUCGCCCCAGCUCCUCUCCCCAAUGCCAUAGAGUCUUUGCGUGUCCUGCUACCUAGACCUAGAGCACCCUUCCCAUUCUGCUUACUGCUGCCUUCUCAUCCUUCAGACUCCACUUGGUGACAGCCUCCAAGAGGC
rnacentral:lncRNA from 1 species